CAGGCCUAACACAUGCAAGUCGAACGGUAACAGGCCGCAAGGUGCUGACGAGUGGCGAACGGGUGAGUAAUGCAUCGGAACGUGCCCAGUCGUGGGGGAUAACUGCUCGAAAGAGCAGCUAAUACCGCAUACGACCUGAGGGUGAAAGCGGGGGACCGAAAGGCCUCGCGCGAUUGGAGCGGCCGAUGUCAGAUUAGGUAGUUGGUGGGGUAAAGGCCUACCAAGCCGACGAUCUGUAGUUGGUCUGAGAGGACGACCAGCCACACUGGGACUGAGACACGGCCCAGACUCCUACGGGAGGCAGCAGUGGGGAAUUUUGGACAAUGGGGGCAACCCUGGUCCAGCAAUGCCGCGUGCAGGAAGAAGGCCUUCGGGUUGUAAACUGCUUUUGUCAGGGAAGAAAUCCUGUGGGUUAAUACCUCGUGGGGAUGACGGUACCUGAAGAAUAAGCACCGGCUAACUACGUGCCAGCA
rnacentral:rRNA from 1 species